CUGCAAGUGGCAAUCGCACUCAAGCGGUUUCUUUUCCAUCUAGAAUUAUCCUUCAAAUGCCAGGAAAUCAAGCAACUAUCAAAGACGAAGCUUAAAUUUUGUGACCUCGAAAACCCAGUGACAAAGGAAAGAAAUACGACAAAUUCAAUAGAGAAAACCUAAAAAGAAUCCAUCAAAUUCGUUGGUACAUGAAUGAUUUAUUUGUACAACUGAGCAGAUGGAAAACAGUCAUUGGAACAAAAUGAAGAUAACUCCAUAAAAGCGUUCCUUAAUAGCUUCAAGUUCGGACAGUCGACCUCAAAGGAUACUACAAGUUAUCAAGCAAUUCUUAGAAUGGAGCAUAUUUUACAAAAGGCCCAGCUGGAAGUCCCUCAGCUUUGCUGUACACCGCACAUCCCUUAAAUGGAC